UACGGAGGGGGCAAGCGUUGUUCGGAAUUAUUGGGCGUAAAGAGCUCGUAGGCGGCCUGUUGCGUCCGCUGUGAAAGCCCGGGGCUUAACCCCGGGUCGGCAGUGGAUACGGGCAGGCUAGAGGUAGGUAGGGGAGAAUGGAAUUCCCGGUGUAGCGGUGAAAUGCGCAGAUAUCGGGAGGAACACCAGUGGCGAAGGCGGCUCACUGGUCCAUUACUGACGCUGAGGUGCGAAAGCGUGGGGAGCAAACAGG
rnacentral:rRNA from 1 species